rnacentral:misc_RNA from 1 species
GUGAGGGCUUAUAUUAAGUAUCACUUCUCAUCAACACAUAGGAGGGGCAAAACCAAUCGACCCAGUUGGAUAAUGGACUCCAGGCCUGAUCAACUAUGGACCCUAGCCUAACUUUGAGAGUAAUAUACAUCCAAUACUAGAACAUGGACCAUGAGAUAAAGCAUACAUCCAGGCAGCUAACAUGCAUUCCCAACCAGAAACACAACACCAGAACCAG